rnacentral:misc_RNA from 1 species
UAUUAAGAAAGUUCUCAUAAACAACACUGCAAUAAUAAAAUAAUAAUUAUCGUCUAUAAUUUAAUAACUCAGUUUCAGUGCGUGUUAAGUUUUAGUCAUACAGGAUUUUAAAAUCAUGAGGUUGCGAUAGUGGCCGUGUAUAAUGGCGGUCGGUGAGGCCCGCGUCCCCAUUCUGCAUGAUGAAAGACCCGCACAUCAUGACUCUUAUAAGGCCCACCGUGAGGAUGCGAGGCCGCGGCUGGGCCACGGUGAGAUGGUGGUGACUUCGCUGGUAGCCGGCGCCUCCGCUGGAGCAUUAGCCAAGACCGCCAUCGCGCCGCUGGAUCGCACCAAGAUCAACUUCCAAAUAUCUCAGACGCCGUACUCGUGGCGCGCGGCGCUGCAGUUCCUGUCGCAGUCGCUGCGGCACGAGGGGCCGCUGGCGCUGUGGCGUGGGAACAGCGCGACCAUGGCGCGGAUAGUGCCGUACGCCGCCAUACAGUUCACUGCGCACGAGCAGUGGAAGCGGGUGCUCGCCGUCGACACGCCGCAAACCGCACAACAGCACCCGAUCCUGCACCUGCUGGCGGGCUCGCUGGCGGGCGUGACGUCACAGAGCGCCACGUACCCGCUGGACCUGGCGCGCGCGCGCAUGGCGGUCACCAACGCCGCCGAGUACCGCACGCUGCGCGCCAUGUUCAGCAAGGUGGUCCGCGAAGAGGGCUUGAGGACGCUCUAUAGAGGCUACCCUGCGACGGUGCUGGGCGUGAUCCCGUACGCGGGCGUCUCGUUCUUCACUUAUGACACUCUGAAGCACAAGUAUUUAGAUUACUUCGGCCGCGAACAAGGCACGAUAAUGAACGUCAUAUUCGGAGGCACGGCGGGUGCCCUGGCGCAGACCACAAGCUACCCGCUGGACAUCGUGCGCAGGCGCAUGCAGACCAGUCGACGACGCGUGGACGGCUCCUACCCGUACAGCACCAUCGCGGACACGCUGCUCACUGUGUACAGGUCCGAGGGCUGGCGCGGGUUCUUCAAGGGCCUCAGCAUGAAUUGGGUGAAGGGCCCCAUCGCGGUGGGCAUAUCGUUCGCCACGUACGACGCCAUCAAGAACGCGCUGCGGGAGGUACUCGUUACAAUGCACAGUUUUCGGUCUGACGCAACGAAAUUAUAACAUUAAACCUCGUGGAGGAUUCGUAGAGACGUUCUGGGAUCAAUUCCUAAAUGAAAUAUGUAACAUGCUUCGUUAGUCCGUCGUGUUCGGUUUAGUGUUUCCGCACGCCGCUAGAUGUCACCGAUAGUUGCGUUUCUUAGACGGUAGGUGGCGUUGUUAUUAAAUCGUUUGCAGAGUGUAAUGUAUUACGAUCGUAAAAUAUUUCUGUGUUUCUAUAUCAAAUAAUAGUUAAAAGGUUAUUUUUUUUAUUGUUUUAAAUGACGAGACGAGCUUGCCGUUCUGAUGGUAAGCGAUACCUAUGAACAGUAGAAACACCAACACCUUGAAUUACAAAGUAUUGUUUGGUAUUCCACUGCGCUCGCCAUCCUGAGACGUGAGAUUUUAAGUCUUAUACUUAUACAUUAUAAUAAUGUUUUUAUAUAUUUUUAAUAGAACUACGUAUUCUUUAUAUACUGAUUGUAUCCGAUCGUUACACUCCGCAAACGGUUUUUCAAUUGAAACUGUCUCGUUGACUGUCAGUAUGACUGAAGAUAAAUAUUGACAAUAAUAUAUAAAAAGUUGUUUUACGUAGAUUGACGAGCGAUGGAGAUUAUGGGAAUUUAGUUUACAAAUCGAUGUUUUCUAUGUACACUAUUGUAUCUGAAAAAUAUUCACUUUUUUAACAGUUUUUUUUUUAAAUUGUCAUACGUUUGUUAGCCUGGCAGGACCGGCUUAUACAAACACCGGUCUUGCGGGUGAGUGCUUCAGGCACUGUGAGUCCUUAAGUGACCAUGCUGAGGACCCUCUAGAGGGUCACGGCCUCGGCUCAGGACGGCCACUGAGAGGAUGAGACAUCAGCCAUUAUGGGUAACGCGAGAGGUGCGCAAGCAAUAUAUCAGUCUACCUAGUUUGCGUCGGCACGCGGCCGGAAUUAUCGGAAGGGUCGGAGGGACGGAGCUGCCGUCGUGUGGAGCUUUAACGUUGCGUUAACUAGGUUCUAUUUACUACCAAAUCCAUUAAAAAUGUAGUAAAUUGUUUUUAAUGAUUUUUUUUUCGUUUAUUUAGUUUUGAAUGAAAUAGGUUUGGUAAAACAGUACCUUGAUAAUGAAAUGCUAAAAGUGAAUCGCUAUUUUUACAGAUGCGAUAGUUAUCAGGAGACGUUGUAAUGUUACAUUUUAUGUAUAUUUUGUAAUGAUUUGAAAGUAUAAAAUUAGGGUUGUCAAGUUUGCAUGAUAUUAUUUCUCUAACAAAAAUAUUUUAGUAAAAAAAUGAGUUUUUAUCUUUCUUUUUUUAUGUGACGGGAUAAGCUUGUAAAAUGAGAUUAUAUCUACUCAAACAAAUCGCCUCUUUGAUCUAGCCAUGCGCAGCGUGAUAUAGACCAUGAGGUCCUGGGUUCAAUUCCCAGGCGGGAAAUCCUUAGAAAAAGUUUUUUUUAAAGAAAAACAUGAUUUUCCUGAGAUUGUUUGACAUAUAGUCGGUUUUUGGGCCGUAACUACACGAGGGACCAUAACCAAGAAGGCGUUGUACAAUCGUCAAAAUAAAAUAAAAAAUAUAAUGCUUUAUUCAUCACGUAAGCGAACAUAGCGCUUAUGAUAAGUCAAGGUACAUGAGAAUAUUUAAUUAUUACUCAAAAGUCGCUUAUAACUAAAGACAAUAUAAUAAACAGAAAACGGUCAAAAUGUAUGGAUAUAUAUUAUCGACAAAGGUAAUCUCUAGGGCAGGGAUGGCGCACCUUCAAGGUUAAUGUGCCAUUAUUUAUAAAAAAAAAACUAAUUCACCCGACAGACGUUGUCCCGUCUUAACUAUGUAUGCACACGCGCAUUCUGUCAAUCGCUGACAGUUAUUUCAAACAAUUGACUGUUAUAUAAAAUUAAUAUUUGCGUUAAGUUUUCUUUAAUUUUC